GUAGCUAUAUUCACAUAAACCAAAGUUGAAACAACACAGAGAUUAGCAUGGCACCUCUGCAAAAAUGACAUGCAAAUUUGCAAAGUGUUUCAUAUUUUC
rnacentral:snRNA from 1 species